AUUGAACGCUGGCGGCAGGCCUAACACAUGCAAGUCGAACGAGUGGCGGACGGGUGAGUAAUGUCUGGGAAACUGCCUGAUGGAGGGGGAUAACUACUGGAAACGGUAGCUACUACCGCAUACCAUCGGAUGUGCCCAGGUGGGAUUAGCUAGUAGGUGGGGUAAAGGCUCACCUAGGCGACGAUCCCUAGCUGGUCUGAGAGGAUGACCGGCCACACUGGAACUGAGACACGGCCCAGACUCCUACGGGAGGCAGCAGUGGGGAAUAUUGGACAAUGGGCGCAAGCCUGAUGCAGCCAUGCCGCGUGUAUGAAGAAGGCCUUCGGGUUGUAAAAUACUUUCGGCAGGGAGGCGUUACCCACAGAAGAAGCCCCGGCUAACUCCGUGCCAGCAGCCGCGGUAAUUC
rnacentral:rRNA from 1 species